rnacentral:lncRNA from 1 species
ACAUGUCAUUUACGCUACUUUUUAUUAAUAAACAUGCUUAUUAUAAAGUUAUUACAGUAUGUCAUAUGACCUCAUGGCAUAAAAAAGUUACACAUCGUUAGUGCAUAAAAAUUAAACUCAACAACAAAUUAUCAAUCACAAUUGUUACCUACACCUAGCCGUCCACAGAUGAAAAUGUCAAAUAUGCUGAUAACUACACAUAGUAUAUACUAGAUCAUCUUUCUCGAAACUCUGUCCAGUAACUCUCUCUCUCCAGUGAGCUCUCUCUCUCCAACGGUAACCUCUACCAACCCCUCCCCAGCUCCCAGCCCCCCACUCC